AUUGAACGCUGGCGGCAUGCCUAACACAUGCAAGUCGAACGGCAGCACAGCAGUAGCAAUACUGUGGGUGGCGAGUGGCGGACGGGUGAGGAAUACGUCGGAAUCUGCCCAGUCGUGGGGGAUAACUAGCCGAAAGGUUAGCUAAUACCGCAUACGACCGAGAGGUGAAAGCGGGGGACCGCAAGGCCUCGCGCGAUUGGAUGAGCCGACGUCGGAUUAGCUAGUUGGCGGGGUAAAGGCCCACCAAGGCGACGAUCCGUAGCUGGUCUGAGAGGAUGAUCAGCCACACUGGAACUGAGACACGGUCCAGACUCCUACGGGAGGCAGCAGUGGGGAAUAUUGGACAAUGGGGGAAACCCUGAUGCAGCGACGCCGCGUGAGUGAAGAAGUGCUUCGGCAUGUAAAGCUCUAUCAGCAGGGAAGAAGAUGACGGUACCUGACUAAGAAGCCCCGGCUAACUACGUGCCAGCAGCCGCGGU
rnacentral:rRNA from 1 species